UACGAAGGGGGCUAGCGUUGCUCGGAAUCACUGGGCGUAAAGCGCACGUAGGCGGAUUGCUAAGUCAGGGGUGAAAUCCUGGAGCUCAACUCCAGAACUGCCUUUGAUACUGGCGAUCUCGAGUUCGGGAGAGGUGAGUGGAACUGCGAGUGUAGAGGUGAAAUUCGUAGAUAUUCGCAAGAACACCAGUGGCGAAGGCGGCUCACUGGCCCGAUACUGACGCUGAGACGCGAAAGCGUGGGGAGCAACAGG
rnacentral:rRNA from 1 species